GUGUCAGCAGCCGCGGUAAUACGUAGGUGGCAAGCGUUGUCCGGAAUUAUUGGGCGUAAAGCGCGCGCAGGCGGUUCCUUAAGUCUGAUGUGAAAGCCCCCGGCUCAACCGGGGAGGGUCAUUGGAAACUGGGGAACUUGAGUGCAGAAGAGGAGAGCGGAAUUCCACGUGUAGCGGUGAAAUGCGUAGAGAUGUGGAGGAACACCAGUGGCGAAGGCGGCUCUCUGGUCUGUAACUGACGCUGAGGCGCGAAAGCGUGGGGAGCGAACAGGAUUAGAUACCCUGGUAGUCC
rnacentral:rRNA from 1 species